GGAGGCCACUCUUCAGUUACUGGGACAGCCCCCUGCCCAAGAGGGGAGCUCUAAGGCCCAGGGCAUGCGGUAGCCCCAACAGGAGGCUGGGGGCCUCUACCCAAGAGCAGACCAACCAGGAAGCAGCUUCAACCAGAUGGAGACGGUUUCAGUUCAGGACUAACCAGAGAAGGUGCCCGAAGGAGGCCUAUCUUGGGGGACCUCUCUGAGUAGUUACCUCAUUGGAAGGCUUUGGGCACAUGACCUGUUGGCCUCCUCUUCUUCCCUUAUCACCCAGGGCUCCCAGGCCCCAAGCGGGGCCCACCUCCAAGUGCCUGGUGGCCUAGGCCCUCAUUUAAGUUUACACUUGCCACUGCUGGGGGCUCCUGAGUCCUCUGCAUGAGUUCUGCACUCUGCCCUUGCCCCAGUCACCACACAAGCAAAUGUUGCACUCUGGGGCAUUUACCUUUUUACCCUUGCUUUUUUAUCCUGCCCCUCUCCCUGUCCUCAGGGCCCUAGACUUCCUGUGGGGUCUAGCCUUGUGACUCUCAGGGUUUCAUCUCCAUUCAGCUUCAUUCAUCACAGUUUAUCCUGCCACUAACCUGUCCUGAGUCCCUGGGCCCCAGAGCUCUCUGGAGCCCGUCACGUCUUUGUGCAGUGUUUUUUGAUGGUACAUGUUCUUGUCACUUUGCACUUACUUGUUUCCCGUGCUGCCUUGCACACAUGCCCAUCCCCCCCACCCCACAGGCUUUGAGCCCAAUUCAGUCUGCUGCCUGCCCUUCACUGGCUUGUGCUGGUCUCUUUGUCCAAGGGCUCCUUCCAUCUUGCCCUUGCACCCUACCCACCAAUGCUGGGUGAGGAACAGCCUCUCUGGCUUCACCCUACCCUAGUGCCCACUCCCCUGGUUCUCUCAGGUUCUCUGCUCAGGAGGAGGGAGACAGCAUGAGAACCUGUGAGCAGCUGUUGGGGCGGGGGAUUGACCUUGAGGUGCCUUGUCCUCUGUUCUGAAAAAAGUGAGGUUGCAGUAAAUGUCACAGCUCUGUCCUCAAGGACUAGAAGACCGGGACUCUUCCUCAUGCAGGGGAGGGGGGACGGUGGGGCACAGGUGUUCUUAGAGGGUCGAGAUCCAUUCACAUGCUUGUGUAGAAAAAGAUUAUCUUGAUGCCUACCUCCCACCAUUUGCUCUUGGUCCUGGGGCUCAACUCCAGAUGCUCCGGUGUGAGUUCCCGGGGAAUCUCUGUGCUGGAUACCCUUUCUAGAUGCCCUUCCUUGAGACAUGGGAUGGGGUGGUCUGGAGCUAGCCUGCUCCCCUUGCUGUGCAAUAAAGGCAGCAGCUGUGUGUCCUGUUU
rnacentral:lncRNA from 1 species